GAUCUCAGGCAAAACCUAGAUGUGCCGUCGUCAUCGAGAGAGAGCAGUCUCCUAGGUCAUGCCCACCUCCAAGAUCCCACCCCUAUCGCCCUCUCUCCUCUCACGGCCCUAGUGUCGCAUCUCUUCCUGACCGAUAGUGCCGGUGGUCUGCCCAUCUAGCAGUGGUCGGCGUCAAUCCCUUUAUCAUCGCCGAGCAUGCACGCGGCGCCCUCGGCGAUGCCCCCGCCGCAGUCACCGAGAUGGAUCCCACGCCAGGGUUCCAGGUUCUGUUGGUGAGGGCCGAACUUCACCGCCGUGUCAGUGAUGGUAGGGAAGCGUUAUACUUUCUCUCGAUCCAUCUGGCUCGCCUCCCCUUUUCUCCUUCCCGUCGACUAUACCGCGAUGGCUAACACUCUCCAUGCCUUCUCGGUGGCAGGCAGCGAACCAGUCUUGUGACAUCUUCCUAGGAGUGCUCCAAAUCUCCCAACUGCUUCGCUUGUUGGCUGACUCCUCGUCCUCCACCUCAACAGCCAGAUACAGGCAAGCAAGCAGCAAGACGGCCUCAAAGCUUCAAUCUCUGUUGCUGGUCCCUUCGCCAUCUGAUCAACCAAACACCUAUUGUCUUCCGCCUCCUGGACGACCUGAUAGGGGCUGCAACGAGGCUCCAGAGUCUCCACCAAUUUUGCUCCUCUUCGUCCUUGCUGAAUGAUGCUUCAUCGCAUAUCAUUUUUGGUGCUAGAAUUUGUGGUUGUUCCAUAGUCGAUCAAGCCAUGUAUCAGUGCUUAGGUAAUCUUUGUACUGAUAUAUCGAGAAAGCAUCGUGCUUUGCCUAUUCACUUCUAUACAAGCUAAUCUGUAAUUGGCAGUGGUUACUGAAUAUUUUUAUCCCUGUUAGUCAAAGCUAAUAUAAUGUGACUUGCCAACUUUCUGCUGAAUGUAUUGUUGAAAAACAAAUCCAAGGGAAUUAUUAUUUGGCAUCAAAUUAAGGAAUGUCCUGCAUGAACUUUUUU
rnacentral:lncRNA from 1 species